rnacentral:rRNA from 1 species
CAGUCGCCGCGGGAAUACGGAGGGGGCUAGCGUUGUUCGGAAUUACUGGGCGUAAAGCGCACGUAGGCGGCUUUGUAAGUUAGAGGUGAAAGCCCGGAGCUCAACUCCGGAAUUGCCUUUAAGACUGCCGAGCUAGUAGGUGAGAGAGGUGAGUGGAAUUCCGAGUGUAGAGGUGAAAUUCGUAGAUAUUCGGAAGAACACCAGUGGCGAAGGCGGCUCACUGGACGACUGUUGACGCUGAGGUGCGAAAGCGUGGGGAGCAAACAGGAUUAGAUACCCCUGUAGUCCCUGUCUCUUAUAC